rnacentral:rRNA from 1 species
UCUAGAGGCUUCGGCAAUGGGGGAAACCCUGACCGAGCGACGCCGCGUGUGGGAUUGAAGGCCUUCGGGUCGUAAACCACUGUCAUUGGGAAAGAAUGCCCGGAUGGCGAAUCCGGGAGAGACGGUACCCAAGGAGGAAGCCCCGGCUAACUCCGUGCCAGCAGCCGCGGUAAUACGGAGGGGGCAAGCGUUGUUCGGAUUUACUGGGCGUAAAGGGUGUGUAGGCGGUUGCGUAAGUCUGACGUGAAAUCUUCACCGCUUAACGGGAAGAGGUCAUUGGAAACUGCGUAACUCGAGUAUGGUAGAGGCAAGCGGAAUUCCUGGUGUAGCGGUGGAAUGUGUAGAUAUCAGGAAGAACACCUGUGGCGAAGGCGGCUUGCUGGGCCAUCACUGACGCUGAAACACGAAAGCGUGGGGAGCAAACG